GGGAUUAGAUACCCCACUAUGCACAGCCCUAAACUUUGAUAGAAACAUUACAUCCACUAUCCGCCAGGGUACUACGAGCUCUAGCUUAAAAUCCAAAGGACUUGGCGGUGCUUUAGACCCACCUAGAGGAGCCUGUUCUAGAACCGACAACCCCCGUUCAACCUCACCCUCCCUUGUCCAUUCCGCCUAUAUACCGCCGUCGUCAGCUUACCCCAUGAAGGAUUCAUAGUAAGCAAAACCAGUAUAACUUAAAACGCCAGGUCGAGGUGUAGCGCAUGAGAGGGGAAGAAAUGGGCUACAUUCCCUAAACCAGGGCAUACGGAAAAUACAAUGAAAUACGUAUUAGAAGGAGGAUUUAGCAGUAAGCAGAAAACAGAGUGUUCUACUGAAACUGGCCCUGAAGCGCGCACACACCGCCCGUCACCCCUUAA
rnacentral:rRNA from 1 species